AACGAACGCUGGCGGCAUGCCUAACACAUGCGAGUCGAACGAGACCUUCGGGUCUAGUGGCGCACGGGUUCGUAACGCGUGGGAACCUGCCCUUAGGUUCGGAAUAACUCCCCGAAAGGGGUGCUAAUACCGGAUAAUGUCUUCGGACCAAAGAUUUAUCGCCUUUGGAUGGGCCCGCGUUGGAUUAGCUAGUUGGUAGGGUAAAAGCCUACCAAGGCGACGAUCCAUAGCUGGUCUGAGAGGAUGAUCAGCCACACUGGGACUGAGACACGGCCCAGACUCCUACGGGAGGCAGCAGUGGGGAAGAUUGGACAAUGGGCGAAAGCCUGAGCCAGCAAGGCCGCGUGAGUGAUGAAGGCCUUAGGGUUGUAAAGCUCUUUUACCCGGGAUGAUAAUGACAGUACCGGGAGAAUAAGCUCCGGCUAACUCCGUG
rnacentral:rRNA from 1 species